rnacentral:rRNA from 1 species
CUUCCGUAGGGUGAACCUGCGGAAGGAUCAUUACCGAGUGAGGGUCCCUCGGGGCCCAACCUCCCAUCCGUGUUGUCCUGACACCUGUUGCUUCGGCGGGCCCGCCGUGGUUCACGCCCCGGCCGCCGGGGGGUUCACGCCCCCGGGCCCGCGCCCGCCGAAGACCCCUGGAACGCUGCCUGGAAGGUUGCCGUCUGAGUAUACAAUCAAUCAAUUAAAACUUUCAACAACGGAUCUCUUGGUUCCGGCAUCGAUGAAGAACGCAGCGAAAUGCGAUAAGUAAUGUGAAUUGCAGAAUUCCGUGAAUCAUCGAAUCUUUGAACGCACAUUGCGCCCCCUGGCAUUCCGGGGGGCAUGCCUGUCCGAGCGUCAUUGCUAACCCUCCAGCCCGGCUGGUGUGUUGGGCCGCCGUCCCCCCUCCCCGGGGGACGGGCCCGAAAGGCAGCGGCGGCGUCGCGUCCGGUCCUCGAGCGUAUGGGGCUCUGUCACACGCUUCAGUAGAACCGGCCGGCUUGCUGGCCAUCACCUAUAUUUUUCUCUUAGGUUGACCUCGGAUCAGGUAGGGAUACCCGCUGAACUUAAGCAUAUCAAUAAGCGGAGGAA